AGAGUUUGAUCCUGGCUCAGGAUGAACGCUAGCGGCAGGCUUAAUACAUGCAAGUCGAGGGGCAGCACAGGUAGCAAUACUGGGUGGCGACGGCAAACGGGUGCGGAACACGUACGCAACCUUCCUUUAAGCGGAGAAUAGCCCAGGGAAACUUGGAUUAAUACUCCAUAAGAUUAUGGUGUGGCAUCACACAGUAAUUAAAGCUCCGGCACUUAAAGAUGGGCGUGCGGCUGAUUAGGUAGUUGGCGGGGUAACGGCCCACCAAGCCUACGAUCAGUAACUGGUGUGAGAGCACGACCAGUCACACGGGCACUGAGACACGGGCCCGACUCCUACGGGAGGCAGCAGUAAGGAAUAUUGGUCAAUGGACGCAAGUCUGAACCAGCCAUGCCGCGUGGAGGAUGAAGGCCCUCUGGGUUGUAAACUUCUUUUAUUUGGGAAGAAACCCAUCUUUUCUAAGGUGGUUGACGGUACCAGAUGAAUAAGCACCGGCUAACUCCGUGCCAGCAGCCGCGGUAAUACGGAGGGUGCAAGCGUUAUCCGGAUUCACUGGGUUUAAAGGGUGCGUAGGUGGGCAGGUAAGUCAGUGGUGAAAUCUCCGGGCUUAACCCGGAAACUGCCGUUGAUACUAUCUGUCUUGAAUGUAGUGGAGGUGAGCGGAAUAUGUCAUGUAGCGGUGAAAUGCUUAGAUAUGACAUAGAACACCUAUUGCGAAGGCAGCUCGCUACACUAUUAUUGACACUGAGGCACGAAAGCGUGGGGAUCAAACAGGAUUAGAUACCCUAGUAGUCC
rnacentral:rRNA from 1 species